GACGAACGCUGGCGGCGUGCUUAACACAUGCAAGUCGAACGGAAAGGCCCUUCGGGGUACUCGAGUGGCGAACGGGUGAGUAACACGUGGGUGAUCUGCCCUGCACUUCGGGAUAAGCCUGGGAAACUGGGUCUAAUACCGGAUAGGACUACGAAUCGCAUGGUUUGUGGUGGAAAGCUUUUGCGGUGUGGGAUGGGCCCGCGGCCUAUCAGCUUGUUGGUGGGGUGAUGGCCUACCAAGGCGACGACGGGUAGCCGGCCUGAGAGGGUGUCCGGCCACACUGGGACUGAGACACGGCCCAGACUCCUACGGGAGGCAGCAGUGGGGAAUCUUGCGCAAUGGGCGAAAGCCUGACGCAGCAACGCCGCGUGGGGGAUGAAGGCCCUCGGGUUGUAAACCCCUUUCAGCAGGAACGAAAAUGACGGUACCUGCAGAAGAAGGCCCGGCCAAAUACGUGCCAGCAGCCGCGGUAACACGUAGGGGCCAAGCGUUGUCCGGAUUUAUUGGGCGUAAAGAGCUCGUAGGCGGUUCAGUUAGUCGGGUGUGAAAACUCUGGGCUCAACUCAGAGACGCCACCCGAUACUGCUGUGACUUGAGUCCGGUAGGGGAGCAGGGAAUUCCAGGUGUAGCGGUGAAAUGCGCAGAUAUCUGGAGGAACACCGGUGGCGAAGGCGCUGCUCUGGGCCGGUACUGACGCUGAGGAGCGAAAGCGUGGGUAGCAAACAGGAUUAGAUACCCUGAUAGUCCACGCCGUAAACGUUGGGCACUAGGUGUGGGUCUCAACCAACGGGAUCCGUGCCGUA
rnacentral:rRNA from 1 species